GGCGAAAUUGGCGGGGGAGCCGGAGUAGGGCUGAACAUUGACGCCCCACUUGGAGGGGUCGCAGUGGAAGGCCUGCAGGGCACGUGACCUGCAGAGGUUCUCGAUCUCGUCGAUGAACUCAUUUCCACCAUAGUAGCGGUUGCCAGGCAUGCCCUCGGAGUACUUGUUGGUGAGGGCGCUGCCCAGGGCUUCAAUGACGGCAAAGGAUGUGAAAUUCUCGGAGGCAAUCAGCUCUAUCCCCCUGCACUGCCUCCUCUUUUCCUUCUCGAUCAGGUCAUGGAUCUCUGGAUCCACUGUGAGGAGGCUUGAGUUUCCCCAUUCUGAUACUGGAUCCAUUCCUUCUCCACUCGAAUAACCAACAACAAGAAGAACGAAGAAAUGAAGGAGAUUGUUGGUUGUGGCUGUGCCCUUGGCCACGGGAUCUAAGGGGAUUUUAAAGAAACCCCUCGGUUAUGAGAAAGUACACGUCUGCCCUUGGGUUGGUGGAGGCGAGGUGAAGCCAGGCAAUGUCUUUUUUCACCCCUCUUUCCACUUAUUAAUUUCGAUGGAAAGAAUUGGAUGAGUACCGAUGUUUUAAAAAUCGGAUCGAUCAUCCGGUUUAAUAUGAACCUAUCAAAAUCUUAUUAGAUUUUUCAAUAUCGAAACCUUGUGGUAGGAGCCCGAACUGAGACCAGUGGUUUAACAACAGAAGUUGAGGACAAACCGAGCUACAUAUUUAUCAUAUACGUAUAUUUAUUUUUAUAAUAAUUAUUAAUAAUAAAUAUGAAAAUAAUAUAAAUUAAUUAAUAUAAUAAUUUUAAAAUUUUUAAAAUAGAUAUAUAAUUAAAUUAAAUAUUAUAAUUUUUUUUAUCUUCUAUAUAUCUUCAUAUUUAAAUAUUAUAGAUAUUCUAUUUAAUAAAAUUUAAUAUUUUAAUAUCUUCAUCAUUUAAUUUCAUAUACUAAAACAUAAAACAUGAAAUAUUAUUAAAAUUUUUUAAUUAUAUACAUGUAUUUUAUUUUCUUAUAAUUAUGUUGAAUUUGAAGAAAAUAUAAAUAAUAUAUUUAUAACAUUAGUGUUCACCAAUUCAACUAGUGAAUCAUAAAUCAAUAAUUUUUUUAAUUUAAUAUAUAAUCUAAUUAUGAAAACAUUGAUAAAAAACCAUAAUAAAUUCUAAUAAAUAUCUUUUAGUGUUUUUGCUUCUUAUGGUAAAAACCCUUUUUAACUCACAUUGAUAAUAACUAGUGUCGGGAAAGAAAAAGAAUAAAACUUUUACAUAAAUUUGAAAUUUAAAGACUUUAAAUAAUAAUAAUAAUUUUGAUAGGAAAGCUUUUUAUAUGGUUCCUUCAACCAACCCACAUCUUUUUUACAGUACACCCUUGGUUAGGCCCAAAGUACAAGAUUUUUGGAUUGAAGGAGGUUUGGAAAGGGGUCCCACCGAGUAUUAAAGAAACAUCCUGGUUUUGUCCAAAAUUCCUAAUACAACAACAUGGGCCUUCUAACUUUGAUGCAUAGCUCAUACUUAAUUACGCGGACCAUAAAUGAGUUUCCAACUAUCAAUUUUCCUUUGCCGACAAGGCCACUUUGUUGGUUUCACGGUUAAGGCCAUCUUUUUAAGUGGUAUAUACACAUUUUCAAUUCAACAUGCAAGUUUCUUUAUGCAAGAAAUUUUUUUCUUUCAAUGCCAUAUAUAUAUAUAUAUAUAUAUAUACCAAAAGUUUCUUUUACCUUGGUAAUGAUCUUAUUUGUUCAUAUCUUGGUCUCAUUUGUUCAUAUCUAAAUUAUAUUUUUAUAUUUUACACAAAUUAAUUUUAUAAAUCAAAAUCUCUUACAUCUUUUCCCAUGUCCAUCAUCAAAAAGAAAAAUUUCCUUACUUCUUGCCGUGAUUGAGAAAUUUUUUUGUCCAUUAUCUAAAAGCUAAAGUUUCUUUUAAUUUUGUUUUUUCUUUUUUUUUUCUUGACAACGAGAUGUGAACAGUUUAGUCAAUCUUUCUAUGAAUGUGCUCAUAAAGAAGACAUUGUUGACAACUAUUGGGAUUAUAUUAAUGAUAGCAAUAUUAGCUUUAAAACAACAUGUCUACACAUGUCCUUCCAAAUUAGGUCAACAUUUUUUUUAUCUCCUUUUAAUUUUGUUUAUUUUGGUAUUGAUCUAUUACUUAAUUUAUGUGUUUAAAUUUCCAAGUUUUUUUUUUUAAAUUCCGUAACAAUCUAAAACUAAAAUCUUUCUAAAGAAAGAAAUGUAAACUAAAUAUGAAUUAAAAAAUACAAAUAUUUACUUUAUUAUAAAGUUUUAUAUUGUUUGAGUGGAAAGAGUUAAAAAUAUAAAAGAAGAAAGUGGGAUUAUAUUCAAAUAGGGAGGUUGACAUGGGAAGUUUAUUUAAAAAUGGUGUAAUUAAAUAAGAUAAUGUUAUAAAAUAUGAUAUUCUAUACCACUAUGGUAACUUGUGGAUGAUCAUCCAUAAAUAUCUUGUGUAACUCCCUAUAAAAGGGAGAUACCCCUAAUGAAUUUCAAUAGAGUUUUCCCAUGUAUUAUAUUCUCUUCCUACAUUCUAAUUUCUCUUUCUUAUUUUUUUCUCCUUCCACUUUAUAAUUUUACAACACGUUAUCAGCACGAAUAGUCUCUACAAAAGAAAUAAGAAAGACGUUCUUCGUUCUUCUCUUUAGAGAAAUAGAAAGAUGUUUUUCCUUUCAGAGAAAUAGAAAGACUUUCUCUCUUCUUUCUCACAAAAAGGUAUGUGAUAAACUUAUAUCAUGAUUUUCUAUUUUAUUACCUUUUGAUCUCCAUUUUCAUAUAUUUUAUUUGAAUACAUAAAUAUGUAUAAUCCAUAUAACCAGAAGUUAUGGGGUAAAUUAUAAAUUAUAGGGUACAUUCAUAACUAGAAGUUAUGAAAAAUAUGUACAAUCCCUAUUAUCAUAAAUUAUAAAUUAUAGGGUAAAUUCAUAACCAGAAGUUAUGAAAAAUAUGUACAAUCCCUAUAAUCAUAAAUUAUAAAUUAUAGGGUAAAUUCAUAACCAGAAGUUAUGAAAAAUAUGUGCAAUCCCUAUAACCAAAAGUUAUAUGGAAAAUUAUAAAAUUACAAAUACAUGACCAGAAGUUACGUAUAUGAUCCUUAAUUAUUUAUUUUUAAUUAUACGGUAUAACUAAAAGUUAUACCAAACAAUAUUGUAGCCAGAAGCUAUAAAAUAAAUAAAUAAAUGUUCAUAGCCUGAAGUUAUGUACAAAUCUACAUAAUGAAAGUUCAUAGCCUGAAGCUAUGCACAAAUCUACCCAAUGAAUAGUUCAUAGCCUGAAGUUAUAUACAAAUUUAUAUAAAAAAAAGUUCAUAGCUUGAAGCUAUGUACAAAUUUAAAUAUUUUCUUGUUAUGACAAAAUAAUCAUGGCCUGAAGCUAUGAAAAAUAUUAACUUUUAAUUUCUUUAAUUUAUUUUAAUUAUAUUGUGUAACUAGAAGUUAUACAUAAAUAGUUCAUAGCCUGAAGCUAUGUACAAAUUUGAAUAUUUUCUUGUUUUGACAAAAUAAUCAUAACUCAAAGUUAUGAAAAAUAUUGGAUUUAAUUUUUAUUUUGAACUCAUUUAUUUUUCACAAUAGGAAUUAUGGAAAACAAUUUUUAUUAACAAUUGUUUCAUAACCAGAAGUUAUGCAUGCAAUUUCUAAUUCUCUUGUAUAACCAGAAGUUAUUCAAAACAAAAUUGUCAAUGAAUCUUGGAGCUAUGAUCAAAGAAGGAAAUCAAGCAUCCCUAUAGGAUCGCGCAAAAUCAUUGAUUUUCCUUUGUUGUCAUCUCCAUGAAGGUUUAACAAAAAUGAGUUUUUGAUGAGAAAUCACUAGUCUCGUCCAACUAGAUUUGAAUCAUUCCUUAAAGUGAAUGCAAUAUUGUCCCAAACUCGUGGACGGUGACAAGGAUGUGGUCGUGGAAGAAAUCCUCGAUACCAUAGUUCUUAUAGUAAUAAUUCACCAAAUUCUCAUAAAAAGAAAGUCUCAUUGCACCACCAGAAGUGGAAUAAUACUGAGAUAAAACAAGAAAAUGGGAAGUGUUUACAAGAUAAACCUCCUAAGAACCAUGGGAAUAAAUGUUAUAGAUGUGGUAUGAAGGGUCAUUGGUCGCGUACCUAUCGUACGCCCAAACAUUUGGUCGACCUUUACCAAACAUCAAUAAAAUGAAAGAAAGUUGAAAUGAACUUCAUUGAUAGUGAUGGCCAAGUGGAUCUAACCCAUUUAGAUGUUUCAAAUUUCUUUGAGAAUCCUAAUGGGAAAAUUGACCAUUUAAUUGGUGAUGGAAAUGUUUGUUAUGAUUAAACGUUAUGUUUUUAUUUAAUUCUUUGCAAAUAGGUUUAUUUUGUUAUCAUAUUUGAACACAUUGUUUAUUGUUCAUCUUUUAUAGUUUAUUUCACAUUUUAUUAUUUAUCAUUUAAAUUCUUUUCUUUAUUUAUACUUGAAGAUACAUGGAUCUCUCUCAUACCUUGAUCCAUCACUACAAUUAGUUUGAUUAUUGAAAUACUUUCUAGUUAUUUCAUGUAUAAAUUGCUCCACACUUACAAAAUCAAAUGUGUGAGAUACUUACGAAAUAUAUAACUUUAAAUUAUCUUUUCAUAUUUGUUUUAUUGUGUUAUAUAUGCUCUCAUUGCUUUUACACAACUUAUUAAGUUAAGUUAUCAUCGAUGACUAAUAUUUUCCAUUGAUCUUAACUUUUUCUCUAUGAUAAUAUUUAUUCAACUCUAUAAAGAUGAAGUCUUUAUGAUAAUGUCUUAUGACUUGUUACUUUGAUGAAACUCUUGUCUCAUUAAUUGCACAACAUUGAUGACAAACAAUGUUAAUACUAUAUAAGGUGAUAAGACCUAAUUAAAGGCUCUAGAAGAGCUUAUACUAUGUCACUAGUAGUAUUUGAUUCCAUGUGAAUGACACUUCAUACGAUGAUAGAUCCAGAAGAAUCUUAUAAGACCAACUUGGUCCCCCGGGGUGAAAGGUCAUAUGGAUGUACAUUAUAAAACCAGAAGUUUUUAUUUAGUGACUAGUCUACCUAUAUACUUAAAAGGUAGAAUGACAUGUUGUGCAGAUUAUCAUUUUAAUGAGACAAUUUUCCCACCGUUAGGGGGAGAAGAGCCAAUUCCAGAAGAACGAUGUGAAAUUAUUUGGAAUGCAUUGACUUUGACUCAUUUUGAUCCUCAUACAAAUCAAUGUGAACUAGAAGUUCAAAUGAUCAUUCAUUUACAAAAUCUUGCAAAUCAAUUACAAGAUGCAUUCAUUGAUACAAAGAAAGUGACAAAGUCAUAUAUCCCGGCUGCAAAUACUCCAGCACGGAUUGAUGUCCUUGUAGGACAGUUAACAAAUUAAUCUAAGAUAUGCCUGAAGCGUGGUAGACUUGUUGGCUCAAAAGAUGUAACUCCCCGGAAGAGGAGAACCCAAGAAAAAUUUGGUACUCUAGAAGAGACCAUCAAAAUGACUGAUCAGUUUAAAAUUGAUAAAUCUAUAACCCUAGAAGAGGCACAAAUAAUACAAGAAGCCCUUGAAGAGGCACAUAUAUUGAACAAGAAGCCCUUGAAGAGGCACAUAUUGAAUGAGAAGCCCUUGAAGAGGCACAGGUACCUAAAAAUUGUGAGAUCUCAGUAAGUUAUGUAUACAUGGGAGAAAAAUGGGAUCAAAAUAAUAUUAUUUUCUCUUUCCAAGUGGCCUCCAUAAGAAAUGAUGAAGAUCUUAAACUAUGAAAUGUGGAAGAAUGCCGACAUAGAAAUGAUUGGCCAAAAUGGAAAGAAGUUACACAGGCAAAGUUAAACUCAUUAACAAAAUGAGAAGUUUUUGGGCUUGUAGUCCAAACACCUGAAGAUGUAAAGCCUGUUGGGUACAAAUGGGUAUUUGUACGAAAACGCAAUGAGAAUAAUGAGAUCAUAAGAUAUAAAGUGCGAUUAGUAGCACAAGGUUUCUUGUAGAAACCUAGUAUUGACUAUGAGGAAACAUUCUUUCCCGUCAUGGACGCAAUCACAUAUAAUUUCUUAAUUAGUUUGGCAGUCCCAGAAUGACUAGAUAUGCGUCUCAUGAAUGUUUUUACAACAUAUUUAUAUGGAUCCAUGGAUAAUGAUAUAUACAUGAAAAUCCCUGAAGGAUUUAAAUUGCCUGAAGCAAAUUGUACAAAGCCACGUAGCAUGUACUCAAUGAAGUUACAACGAUCCUUGUAUGGAUUAAAGCAAUCUGGACACAUGUGGUACAAUCACCUUAGCGAAUACUUGCUAAAAGAAGGGUAUGUGAAUAACCUUAUGUGCCCAUGCAUCUUCAUUAAGAAAUCAGAAACUGAAUUUGCAAUUAUUGCAAUGUAUAUUGAUGACUUAAGUCUUGUUGGAACUCCCGAAGAGCUCACAAGAACAACAAAUUACUUGAAAAAGGAAUUUGAGAUGAAAUAUCUUGGAAAAAAAAAACUUUAUCUCGGCCUGUAGAUCGAUCAUUUUCAAAAUAAAGUUUUAGCACAUCAAUCAACACACAUUAAGAAAGUUUUGAAGUGUUUUAAUAUGGAUAAAGCGCAUCCUUUAAGUUCUCCAAUGGUUGUCCGAUCACUUGAUGUGAAAAAUGACUCAUUUCGUCCUUGCGAAAAAGGAUGAAGAAUUACUUGGUCCUGAAGUACCACAUAUUAGUGUUAUUGGUGCACUUAUAUAUCUUGCCAAUUGUAUACGUCCAAACAUUCUUUUUCUGCCAAUUUAUUAGCAAGAUAUAGUUCCGCUCCAACUCGAAGACAUUGGAAUGGUAUCAAACAUAUAUUACAUUAUCUUUGCGGAACUACUAGUAUGGGUCUAUUUUACUCAAGGGAAUCAAAGUAACAAUUGCUUGGAUAUGCAGAUACAGAAUAUCUUUCAGAUCCAUAUAAAGGUAAGUAAGAAACAUGGUAUGUGUUUAAUUACAGUGAUAUUGCUAUCUCAUGGAGAUCUAUCAAACAAACAAUGGUAGUCACAUCAUCAAAUCAUUCAUAAAUUCUUGCAAUUCAUGAAGUAAGUCGUGAGUGUGUAUGACUAAGGUCAAUGAUCCAACAUAUUCAAGAAACAUGUGGACUACCUUCCAUCAGAGGCAAUGCAACCAAGUUACAUGAAGAUAAUGCUACUUGUAUUGCACAAAUUAAAGGAGGAUUCAUAAAAGGUGACAAAAUUAAGCAUAUUUCCCAUAAAUUCUUCUAUACUCAUGAGCUCCAAAAGAAAGAUGAGACCGAUGUUCAAUAGAUUCAGGUAUGCAAUAAUCUAGCAGAUAUAUUCACAAAGGCGUUACCUUCGACCGGAUUGAAAAAGUUAAGGUAUGACUUUGGAAUGUAAAGAUUGAGAGAUCUACCAUUUGAAAUGUUGAAGAAAUCAUAACCAUGUUUACAUGAGGAGGAGAAUGAUAAUAUGGAUAUACUGCACUCUUUUUUCCUUUGUCCAGGUUUUGUCCCAUUGGGUUUUAUUGGCAAGGUUUUUCACAAGGCGGCUAUAAUAAUCCAAAAGAAUAUUGUACUCUUUUUCCUUCACUGGGGUUUUUCCUAAUAAGGUUUUAAUGAGGCAUAUUUUUAUGAUCAUCCAAAGGGAAGUGUUAUAAAAUAUGAGAUUCUGUAUCACUAUAGUAACUUGUGGAUGAUCAUCCAUAAAUAUCUUGUGUAACUCCCUAUAAAAGGAAGAUACUCCUAAUGAAUUUCAAUAGAGUUUUCCCGUGCAUUAUAUUCUCUUCCUACAUUCUAAUUUCUCUUUCUUAUUUUCUUUUCCUUCCACUUUAUAAUUUUACGAUAGAUAACCUAUUAUUCCAUUAUCAUAUGUUUUUAUAAAUAUAGGAAAAAGUAUAUUGUAGUCAUGUUAACAAUUAUAGGAAUAUUUCCUUGAGAAAUAGAAAAAAAAAUGAUAUCAAUCUAUAGUAAUUUUAUUGAAAUAGAAAAAAAAAUGUUUCUUCCUCUUAAAGAAAGUGGUUAAGUGAUAUUUGUAAUCAAAUUUAAAAUUAAAAAUAUUAAAAGAUGAGGAAAAAAAUUAAAAAUCCAAAUAUUUAAAUUAAUGAAAAUUGGGUUUGGCUUCCCAUAAAUUUGUAUAAGAUUUGGAAAGCACUAUAUAUAGUUGAGAAUAGUAUGUUUAGAUUUAUAUACUUAUAUAAAAUAAAAUUCAAGUUUCAAAAUAAACAUGAAUCAUAUGCAUAUUAAUUUCUUACCUAGGUGAAACAUAAUUGAGCAUGAGGAGAAUUGCUUUUAAUAUUUUAACUAAAAUUUUGAAUUAAAGUAAAACCUGCUUUGGAGGUUGAAGAGACUUCAAUUAUCAAUGUUAAAAUCUACCAUAAGAGGGGCUUACUCCAUUUUGCUUCUAAUUAUGAUUUAUGGUUGUAUGUUCUUUUCAAGUAUCAACAAUGAGGGAAAAGUAGUUUUUUUUUUUGUUAUUUUAUUAAUGAAAAGAAUUUGUUAGUGGAAUUACACAAAAUUGUUAGAAACUAAAAGUAUGUUUGGUAACUGUUUUAAAAAAUAAUUCUGAAAAAUAGUUUUUGAGAACUAUUUUUGAAAACUGUUCUAUGAUUUUUGUAGAACAAAAAUUUGUUUGGAAACCUUAAAUAUUUUAAACCUGAUUUUAAUAUUUUUAAAAAUAAUUUUAAACAUAAAUAAAAGAACAUGAAAUGGUUAUUAAUGGGAACAUUUCUAUUAUGGAAAUAUAAAUAUUAGAGAUGAAACAUUUUUUUUAAGGAAACAAAAUCUAGUGAUUGAUUGACAUUCAGAGAGAAACAGGUAUAAAAUGACAAACAUAAACAUUUGGAAAAAUAUCUUAUUUUCUAAACAAGUAAUUGGAAAAAUAUGUUUAAUUUUUAAAUCUUCAUAAAUGCUUGUUUAUUGGUCUUGACUUAAUAGGAAUGUAUUAUGGUCAUCCUUACAUUAAUCUACUGAGAGAAUUUAGUAUUGCAUAAAUAAAAUUGGGAAAAAAAGUAUUUAUAUGGUGAUAUGCGCAUAUUAUUUUAUGGUAAUGAAAGUAGAAAAAAAAAAAACAAAUUCAACAUGUAACCAAAAACAUGCUUAUUAACUUGAAAAAAAAAAUAUUUUCUAAACUGAUAGCUUUGAGAAAAUAAAAUGUGUCAUCAAGAUAUAUGAGAUUGAGCGGGGACCAUUGGAACUUAUAUGACGGUAUUAGCUAUCUCAUAAUCUAAUUAUGAAGUUGAUUCAACAUCCCAUUAUAGAGAAUCAACUCUACUCUAGUAUCAUAGGUAAAUAACAAUGAGACACUAAGUACUCAAGUUCGUUACUUACUAUUUGUUGUGUACAAUCUCCCCAUGAACUAGAGUCUAUAGCCUAAUGAGGUGAAAACUGUCAACUUUUCAAGACUACCUCUACUAUGCCUUAGUUACAUAUCCUCCUAUUGUAUGAUCAACUAACAUAUCUUAGUUCUCCAAAAGCUUAAAUCAAGUUCUACUAAAGGAAUUAUUAUGACUGUAGUUUACAUGAAGACACUUCCUUAGGAUCACCCAAGGGAACUCUAUCUCAGUCUCAUGAGAUAUCAUGGUGUCUUUAUUGAAAAUACCUACUGCUAUCAACUUUAAUCAACAAUGAUUGUGGACUUGUAUUUUUUAUGUACGUCCCUACUCAAUGAAAAGACUCACUUUUUAUUGAAAAACUUAUUGUUGUAAAAAAUGGAGUUGCAACUUGAUUUUAUUUAUUUUUAAAGAGAAAAUAAAAUAAAAAAUAAAACCCUAAGAAGAGCAUGUCUUUGAAAAUCUGAGUUUAAAUCUGAGGGUUAGAUUACCUAUUAUGAAGAUACCAUAGCGUAGCACCCCUCUAGCCCUAAAUAAAUUUCUCUACUAAUGAGUUAACUAUAACAAUUUAUCAAUAAAUUAAUGGAUAAUAUAAAAUGAAGAUGGCAACAGUGAUGAUAAACUAGAACAUAGGAAGAGGAAUGAGUGUACCUCAAAAACAGGUUAAGUGCUUUCACAAAAAAAAAAAAAAAAAAAGUUAGUUCACAAGUAUAUCAUAACAAUAAUGCAUGCCAAAGAUUAAAUAAUCUCAACUAUAGGUGAAGAAAAGCCAAAUUAAUGAAAGCAUAUAUAUUACACAACAAAAACAUCAGAAUUGAGACAUGAAUAAAAUAAAGGGGGAAUCAUGUAAAUGUACGUUAUUUGAAAAAUAUGAAUGAAUUGAGAACCUAAAAAAGUGGGUUUCAUGGAAAGUAUAUUUUAGGAAAAACAAUCAUCAAAUCAUGUACUAGAAUAGUAACUUUAUGCAUGCUUCCAAAACUACCCUCCAACCAAUUGAAUAUGGACUAUCACCUACCGUCCUUCAUUUCCUUUUUUUUCCUUCCAGAAGUCAACCCUCCUCAUUCCUCUUCUCUUUAUGCUAUUUGGAGAAAAUCGUUUUUAAAUUUUGAAAAAAAUUCUUAUUUUUCCCCAUAUUUUUUAAAAUCUACUUAAUUAAAAAAGAAAAAAUUAUUUUUUAAAAGUACAAUUCAUUUAAUUAUUAUUUUUUCAUUUUCUUUAUUAAAAUUUUAUUUUAACAUCAUAUGUAAUUAACGCAUUAAAAUAAAUUAGUUUUUAAUAUAAAAAUAUACUCACCUAUAAUAAUUAAUAAAUAGAUAAAUAUAUACUAAUAUUUUAAAUAAUAUAUAUAUAUAUAUAUAGAUAAUAUUUUAUUUUGUUCCAUAUUCAUAAUAUUUUUAUAUUUAUAUUUUUCAUAUUAUGGAUAUUAUGAGUGUUUAGCUAGGUUGGCAAUUUAGGACAAAAUUCCUAAGUGUCUCCAAACUCGGUUUUCCAAUCAUUUUUCUGACUAUUUGCCUAAUGAAGAUCAAGUUCUUGAAUUUUUCAAGAGGCAAAGUUAUGUAGUUGAGGUCGGAGUUGGAUGGAAUUGAAUCAACCAUAUUAUUUAAAUGUUGUUUUUUUUUUUUUUGAAAUAUUUUUUAAGAAGUUAGGAAAGCUUGGGUCGAUCAAAAUGAGUUAACUAUAACAAUUGAUCAAAAUGCCCUGUUCCAGGAUCGAUCCAACUUCAGGUCAAGUCGAUUCAGGUUUCACUUUUUUUGAUAAAAUAUCAUCCAUUGGAUUAAGGGGCUUCAUUCAUUUAAAAACCUAAAAUUGCUUCCUGUGUUGUAGAGAGAGAGACAACAACAACCACCUCCUUUGGUUCUCUUCUCAUUUCCCAUUUUUGGGGUGUUUUGUUGCCAAGAAAAUCCAACUUUCCUAUUGUCUUCCAAACUAUUUUCAAUAGAAUUUUUUUUAAGAAAAAGAUGGGUUAAUUUUUCAUUUAUUCAUCUCUCAAAUUUGAAACUAUUGGGUUUGAAUAAAAACUCAUUUUCUUCUUGUGUGGAUUCACGAAGAAGUCGAGAUCGAGCUUGGUGUGGACUCCAAGUGUGCUUCGGAAGAAAAAGGUGAGAAGUUGAAAGUGAAAGGUGCUAGUCAAGUGGUUUGAGACGAAUUGGUAGGCUUGAGCUAGGUAAAACCUUGCAUUCAGUUUUUGUUCUUCAUAGUGGACAUUUUCGAUUGGUUGUAGGCCCAUGGUUUUUGAUAUUUUUGAAGGUUUUUCAUGUUAAAAUUUGGUGUCAUUGUCUCUUUCUCUCAUUCUCUACUCUUUGAUUUAAAAAGUUGUUUUAUUAAAGAAUUUGAUAUAUGUAUAAUAUGAUUUAUCAUAUUUGAUAAUAAUAUCAUAUGCAUCGAUAAAAAUAUGAAUUUUAUAAGUGUACAUUUAUUAUUAAAUUACAUCAAAUAUUAUUUCAUAAUAAUAUUAUGAUAUUUGAUUAUAAUAUGUCUAACUUAAAAAUAUAUAUUAAUAUUAAAAUUAUUAUCCAUUUAAUUCAAUUGUAUUAAAUGUUAUAAAAUAAAUUAUGAUAUAUGUAUAAUUUUUUAAUAGUUAAUUAAUUUAUUAAUGAUAUUAAAAACACUAUGAAGAAAAUUAUUAUGAGAAUUUUUAUAAUAUCAAAACUUAUAAAAAUAUAAAAUAAAAACUCUUAUAUAUAUAUAUAUAUAUAUAUAUAUAUAUAUAUAUAUAUAUAUAUAUAUAUAUAUAUAUAUAUAUAUAUAUAUAUAUAUAUAUAUAUAUAUAUAAUAUUGUACAUGUUAAUAAAAAAUGUAAAUUUGAUAAGUGUACAUUGAUUAUUAAAUUAUAUAAAAUAUUAUUUGAAGAUAAUAUUGUGAUAUGUGAUUAUAAUAUGUUUAAUUUUAAAAUCUAUUUAAUAUUAAAAUUAUGAUAUAUUAUAAAAUAAAUUAUGAUAAAUGUAUAAAUUUGUAAUAUAUUAAUAAUAUUAAAAACACUAUGAAUAAAAUUAUGAUAUAUUUUUACUAAUCAAUUAAAUGAAAAAAUUUCAUUCAAUUAUAAAAUAGCUAUAAUUAAUUUGUUAUUUAAAGUGUUUUUUUUUUAAUUUUAUUUAUAUCCUAACUUUUGAUAUAUAUUUCUUUAGUGCAUAUUAUAUAUCAAAGGGCGCGUUUCCCUAGUGGAGCUGGGGAGGCAUGCUGAACGUUUUGUUGGGGGUUCGAAUGCCCCCAACGGCAGCAAAAAAAGCUCAAAUUUGAGCUUUGACAGCAUUGAUCGCCUGCGUUGACUAGCCGUUGACAACCGAUAUAUCCAUGCUAUAUAUCGCCACCCGCCGAUACAUCGAUAUAUUGGCGAUAUAUCGCCCAAUUUCGACGAUAUUUUCUUCCCUACUUAUAACUCAAACAAUAAUGAACAAAUAUUGGCCAAAGCAAAUUUAUUAAAAUAACAACUUGGCUGCUUUGACUUCAAUUAUCCAAAUAAAAAUUAUAUUUAGAUUAAUUGCUAAAAAUAAAAUUUAGAAUAAAAAUUUAUUUAUAUGAAAAAUAAAACUUAUUUUGAUGGUUUCUUUGCAUUCUUUUUUCUACAUCUCAAAUGGACAUAUUUGCAUUUAUUUUCAUGUCUUAUAUAUUUUAUUUACAAGCUUUUUAGGUUAAAAUUAGUUGUAAAAAUUAAAUUAAAUCUUUUUAAAGCUUUUUAUCUCAUCUUAAUAGAAUAUACUACAUUUUUUUUUUAUAAAAUUAAAGAUUAAAUCAAGAAAAAAAUGUUAAUAAAAAUGAUUUUAUCAUAUUUGAUUUAUUUAAAAAAAAUACAAAUAUUUUUAUUUUAAAAUUAAUCAAAUGUAAAAUUAAUCAAACUAUUAUCAUUUUUAUUUACUUUUCUUUCAUUUUUCCCCAAUUUUUGUUUCAAAAUUUAUAAGAACUAAAAAAAAAAGUAUUUAUGAUCUAAUUAAUAUCAAAUCUAUUUUUAUUUCAUAUUUUUAUACACUAUACAUCAACAAUCUUAAUUUUCAUUCAAACAUACCCUUAAGUUCUAUUGGUGAUUCUAAAAGUUAUCUCCUCAUAGAGUUCUUAUUUGUGAUGGGAUUGUACAGAUGACAACUGAGAUAGCAAAUGUUGAGGAUGUAGGAACAUGGAGAGGUAAUAUAGAGAAAAUCUUUAUUGACAUCAUGGUAAUUGAAGUUAAUAAAGGUAACAUGGAUAGUGGUACAUUUAGUACCAACACAUGGAGAAAGAUCUUACUUGAGAUCAAUAGUCAAGGGAAAAAAAAUUUCAAUUUGAAGCAGCUUAAACAAAAGUUUAAUAGACUACGUGCAAUGCACCGUGAGUUCUUUGAUCUUUUAAAGCAUACGGGAUUUGGUUAGGAUGCUGAAACUAACAUGGUGCAUACUCUAGAGGAAACCUGGAAAAAUUACAUUCGGGUAAAAAUAACUUUUAAACUAACUACUUUUUAAUUUAAAUAUUUGGUAUAUACUAAGAGUGGGUUUUUUUUCUCUCUAUUAGGCACACCCAAAUACAAAAAGAUUCCGCUCAAAGGGAUGCCCUAACUACAACUUGAUGGGAUUGAUCUUUAAUCCAUCAAUAGCAACCGGUGCCCUCCACUACUCUCCACCCAAGAUCCACCAAACACCGAUGAUGAGGAUGAGAUGGAUGACAAUUUGGAACAUGGUGGAGUGCAUGUGGAUGUAGAUACUAAGAUCCUUGAUGAUCUUUUACGACUAGAGAUGGUAGGAGGAGUGACCACCCGUUCUAGAAAGUGUACAACUGAUUCUCUAUUAGAGCAUAGAUGUAAGAAAGAGUCCAGAUUAAGUCAAAUGAGAGAUGCUUUGAAAGCUUAGGCUGAGGCAUCAAAGGGUAGAACAGAAACAUCUCGAGCUAGAACUGAGGCAUUAUUGGCUAGAGUGGAAAGAUAUAAGAGUGGAAUUAGUAGUGAAGCUACUAGUGCAAGUACUAAUUUUAACAUAACAAGGUGCAUGGCAGCCUUACAAACCAUUGAAUUGUUGGAUAAUGACAAAUAUUUAAAAGCUGUUGAGAAAUUCAUAAUGCCGAAGUGGAGAGAGAUAUUUAUGAAUAUGCCUAAUGAGAGGAAAAUGAAAUGGCUUGAUAGGUUUUAAAUGUGAAUGUUUGGAUCAAUAACUAUUAUGAUGACAUUGUAAUAUGUACUAUUUCUCUUUUGGUUAGAAUCUUUUACCAUGCUUUUUAGUUUGUCAUUGUAUGGAUGUUAUUUAUGGUUGUGAAACUUAUAUUAUAGCUAUUUUAAUGUUCAUUUCGUGCUAUUUUAUAUUGUGAGUUGAUUUGUUUUGUGUAGUAACCAAUGGAUGAUAAUAGCACAAGUAGUGGUUCACUAUAUGAGUUAAUUUCAUCUUUUGAAAAGGACGAUGAUUUAGAUGAAAUUUUUAUUGCUCACAUAAUGAAUGAGUAUGAGGAAAUAUUUUUAUGCAAGACACCUUAAAGGACAUCAAUGUUAAGUGGUGCACAAUUUGUAUGAGAUAUGAUAGAAGGUCAUCCUCAGACAUGCUAUGAACUAUUUCGAAUGGAUAAAGAAACAUUUGUGAACCUGUGUGAUCAUCUUAAGAGACAUCAAAACUUAUAGGACACACGAUUAGUCACAGUUGAAGAGGCAGUUGCUAUGAUCUUACUAAUCAUAGGACAUAAUGUGAGAAUGAUGGUUGUAGCAAACUAUUUUCAACACUCCACAGAGACUGUCGCUUGACACUUUAAAGAAGUUAGACAUGCAUUAUGUCGACUAGGAAAAAUUCUCUUACAUUCUAUCAAUAUGAUCAAUGAGGCGUCUUCAUAUGUUCUUAGUAAUCCUAAAUAUUUUCCAUGGUUUAAGGUAAGAGUUUAUAAAAAAUAUUUAUAAAUGUGAAUUUCAUGUACAAAAAUAGUUUUCGUGACCAUUAUUUAAUUUAUUUCCUUAAUAAUAAUAAAUGUUUGUUGUUGUAGGACUACAUUAAUGCAAUUGAUGACACUCUUAUUAGUGCAUGGGUCCUAGUUGGUAAACAAACUAGUUUUAGGGGUUGAAAAACAAUCAUAACACAAAAUAUUAUGUGUGCAUGUGAUUUUGACAUGAUGUUUACAUUUGUUUAUGUUGGUUGGAAAGGAACAACAAACGAUGCAUGUGUCUUUUUAGAUGCAUUGACUAGACCAAAAGUCAAUUUUCUUUGGCCAAGUGAAGGAAAAUAUUAUGUAGUUGAUUCUGGUUAUCCUUGUAUAUUUGGAUUUUUGCCACCAUAUCGAGGUGAGUGACAUCAUUUAUAAGAAUAUCGGGGUAGACAUAAUCAACCUAUCAGGUAUAAAGAACUUUUUAAUUAUAGACAUUCAUCUCUUCGGAAUAUUAUUGAAAGAUGUUUUGGUGUUUUGAAGACCCGAUUUCCAAUAUUAAGGAUAAUGCCUUGUUAUAAGCCAAGUAGGCAACCAUCAAUUGUAGUUGCCUAUUGUACCCUUCAUAAUUGGAUUCGUCUAUCAACUCGGAAUGAUCAAUUGUUUAGAGAAUAUGAGGUAGAAGACCUUUUAGUCCAAGGUGAAGAAGAGAGCACAAGUAGCACAAACCAUUCAAUUGAUUUAUCAGAUGUAAGUGUAGUAGCUAUGGCAACUUGUAGCGAUCAAAUUGCUCAAGUGAUGUGGGCAAAUUAUAUUAAUGUCAAUCCAUGACUUAUCCUAAUUUUAAUUUUAAAUAUUUGUCAAUACUUUAGUGUUUUGUUAGAAUUUAUAUAUAUUUGUUAACUUAACUAGUUCUCAUUAGUGUUAUGUGAUGUUUGUUGUAAUUUCUAAUGAUUAAAUAUUGCUUAUAAAUUUAAUUUAUAAUUGUACAAGUAGGAUGGACAAAAGACCCAUGUGUUAUUGUGGAUGUGGAUGGAUGCGUAUUUUCAUGUUGAAAACAUAGAAGAACAAUGGUCGUUGGUUUUAUUGUUGUCCAUUAUAUCAUGUAAGUAUAUUUAAUUAUCAUAUGAAAACAUAUUGAUAUUAAUGAAAUACAUAUGUCAUAUUUUAUUUUAUUUUUAAUAAUUUAUCUAUUGUAGGAACAUCCUCAUUGCUUUAUAUGGGUUGAUGAUUAUAAUCUACAACAACCUCAACAACUAUUGUCAAUUGAUGUAAAAAUUUUAAAAUGAAAUAAUUUUUUAAAUUUAAAUGAAUUGUGUAUAUAAAAAUUAAUUACAAAUUUAUAAUAUCAAGUUACUUGAAGAAAACACUUUAUUAAUUAGGGAAAAAAAAACAACUUUCAAACAUGCUUUUUAUUUUACUUAUUCUAAAAAACUUUUUUAUUAACUCAACCAAACAUGCUUUUUUUUUUUUAGAACAAAAACUGUUUUCCAAAAUUCAGUUCCCAAACACAAUUUUUUAUUUUUGAAAACACCAAAAACUGUUUUCCAGAACAGUUUUAAAAAACAAUAACCAAAUAGGCCCUAUGUUUUUCUUUUUCCUUAUAUUAUUUUUAGAAGCAAUCACCUAUAGCUUUGACCGCUGCUACAUAUGCUACAUGUUUAUGCUACCCUAUCCUCACAUCUAAAGCUUACUAUGCAACAUCUCACUCUAGCAAUUUCUCAAUGCAGGUUUCUUUCUACCUUUUAAACAAGUUUGAAAGAUCACGCCAAUAUCUGACCAUAAGCUUUUCUCUCAAAAUAAAGAAAUUCAUUCUCAUAUCUCUUAUUUAUUUAUUUUAUGAUUUUUCUUUCUAACUACUUUCUCUUUGCUUGUACACUAACUUCUCAAAAUAGAGAAAAGUAAUGUUUUUUUUUUUGCUUUAAAGAUUUUGGAUUCUUGAAUCUUUCCAAACAAAGUUUCAUUUCAAACCUUACGAGAUUUUUUUUAACCAUAGAAAAUGGAUGGAAUUGGAAAAUUUGGAGUUUUGGAAUUUUAAUUUUUUAGGUUUUGAAUGUUUUGGAAUAUCUUUCAAAUGUCUAGUUUAUCCAUGGAAUCUCUUUCGAAUGUUUUGUCAGAACAGGAAUCGUUUUGACAUAUUUGGGGAGAUUGUAAAGAAACAUCUAAAUACAAUAAGUUGUUUAUUUUUUAUUUUUUCAUGUUUAUAGUUCAAGUUUUCUAUGCUUUAAUUUGCUUUCUUCUUUUAGAUUUAUUGGUUGGAUUAUGUUUUUUUAAUUCAAUCUUGUAGUAGUGUGUAUCAACCUUGCUAACACAAUUACUUUUGAGAGCACUACCUUGCUAUGAGUAACCUUUUCAUGGAGGGGUGUGUGUGUGUGUGUGUGGUUUUUUUUUUUUUGUGGUAAUGGGGGAUUUGAUGUUGGUUAUUCUCUUCAAUCUAUUCAUGCUUGUAUUACUUUUGUGAAUGCAGGUGGUUCAUGCCAUUCAAUAUCCUUAUAACUUUUGUGAUUGGCUCAACACUUGGAUGGUUGCUUGUCAAAUUAACCAGAGCUCCUCAACAUCUCAAGGGUCUUGUGUUUGGUUCUUGCUCUCUUCCUCCAUUUCAAAAUAAUCUCAAAGAAUCUUCUCUAUCAAAAGUCCUCUAACCCAUGGAUACUCUCAUCCAAUAAGUGGCAACCCACCUUACUUUCUGCGUGUAAGUCUUAUUAUGGAGAGUCCUCUCCAAAAAAACAAAACAAAAACAAAAAAUCUUUUUUUUUUAUUCUCAAACUUUCAUAUUGCAUGAAUAAUAUAUCUCUUCCUACCUUAUGGGUAGUCAUAAACCUCUGAAAAAUCCUUAUCCUCAAUUUCCAAUGCAUCAAUAUCCUCUCAAAAGAAUCUUACAAGUCAUAGACUUCUAUCCAAGUAUGGUGUGAAUCUAAAGAAACUCCUCCUUAAUUAAAUCUCCUAAAUACCACAAGCUUCAAUCUUCCAAAAGUCUCAAUUCUAAAAAAACUUCUCCAUUGCCAUUAAUAUCAUAAAAGAAUCCUCCUAGCCAAAUCCUCCAAAAUUUCCAUACUUUCCUUAUCCUCCCCAAACUCUCAAUCCAUGAACCAAAAAGAGUUUUCUCAAUCUCCAACUCCAAAUCCUUGUCUUCCCAUAAGUGUCCUAGUCAACAUCAAAUCUUAAUUCCUUAAAGCCAUCCUUGUUUUCCUAAAUAAGGCCCACGCAUAUGCCAUGCAAGGUGAUAUGAAAUAUUGUCCUAAAAUGCACCUAAAAAGCUUUCUAAAAUGCACCUGGAUGAACUAACUUAAAGUGUACCUAAACGUAAUGAAUGAAGAAUGUAUCUAGAUGAACUAUCUUAAGUUGUAACUAAAUUAAGAUGCAACAAAGAAAUUUUCUAAAAUGCAACUAAGUGAGCUAGACUAAGUGAAUUGAGUGAGCUAAACUAAAGUGCAUCUAAAUGAGCUAAACUAAAAAUGUAUCUAAUUGAGCUAAACUAAAGUGUAUCUAAGUGAGCUAAACUAAAGUGCAUUUGAGUGAGCUAAACUAGAGUACAUCUAAGUAAGCUGAAAGAAUGUUAAGUGAACUAAACCUAGAAAUGCAACUAAGUGUACUAAAACUAAAAUGCAAUCAAGUGAUUAAGUGAGCUAAACCUAAAAUGAAACUAAGUGAACUAAACUAAGGUAUAACUAGGGUUGCGAUUGAGAUCUAUAAAAAUCCUUCAAUAAUGAGUCUCUAAAAGUGGCUUAAAAAUAACACUAAAUGAGUGACAAUGGACUAUCGUGGGACGACUACAAGGAAAUAAGAAAUAAAGGAGAACACAAAGGGUAACAUGUGCUACAAGGACAAAAUGGAGGGUUUAUAAUGACCCAAUCCGUAAGGAAUAUAUGAUCACUUUAGGAUUUCACUCAUAGGUCAAAGCCAUUACUAACUUUAGCACAAACUCAAUAUUCUCUUAAGGUUGAGAAACAACACAACAUAGUAGCUUGGUGAAGUCAUGAUCACUUGAUAGUUUUAUAUAAUGACUCAUCAUAGGUCUUGUCCAACAUAUAACCAUACACAUUAGUAUACUCACCAUGGGAACCCCAUCUCAAUGUUAAGACCAGUCAUCCCUCCAAUUAGGCGGUGAUGCACUACAACUUCUAAUGGGUUGUUUAUGUCGAUGAACUGGUUAUGAACAAGUCAUCUACUUGUAAGAAACUCGUGACUUUGAUCUUCUAUGAAACUCCUAAUGCACCUAAGUCACAUACAAUGUAAGAGGUGCAAGCCAGAAUACUUAUAUAGUAUGAUACAUGGAAUGAUGAUAAAUAGAAGCAUAAACUUUAUUAAUAAAUAAUGAACUCCAAAGUUUAUUGCAUUACGUCAUGCUUUUAAGGACUACAUUCUAACAACAUUGGAUCUUAUGAAUAGUCUAUCUAGAUUGGGCUAAUUAAUUUACUAGAGCCUAAUAGGACUAAUUAAUUAAUUAGGACCCAAGUAGGCUAGAUUAGGUGACCUAAGUCCAAGUUGACCUCAAGUCACCUACGUUUGUGGGGAAGCCUAUGUACACCUCCUCAAGGGUUUAGGAUUUCAACUUUUUCCAUUGUCUUCUAGACUUUAGAAAACAAACCCUAGCCACCCCUUUAGAGAGAGAAAUAGAAGACCACCUUUCUUUUGUACCAAGGUCCAUAGAAAGAUUAGGAGAAUGAUUGUUGGGUCUACAAGAUCUACAAUCCUAAUAGCCUAUCUUUAUUUGAUUUGAUUCAUCUAGGAACAUCUAAAUCAUAUGUAUGAGUCUUCUAUCUCUAGAUCUAUGUUAUAUUAUGAUUUUUUUUUUUGUUUCAUAUGUUUAUGUUAUAUUAGAUUUGGAGAACCUAGGAUAAGAUUGCAUGCACUCUAUAAGAUUCAAGGCUAAGGAACAAAGUAAUAUAAGGUUCCUAGCAAUUAGUAUCAGAACCCUAGGUAAGGUUUUUGCAUGCUAGAUCUAUUUUAAGGUGUGGUAACUCUAUUUUGUAGAAUUAUUGCAUUCAUUCUACGGUUUAAGAGAUGAAUGAAUGUUUUUAUUUUUAAUAUAAUGGAUAUAACUAUGAUUGUGAUUAAUUGCUCUUUAGAUUAGGUUGUAAGCUAUGUGAUUAGAAGUAUAAAAAUUUCUUUUUGAAUGUAAGAGUUUUUCCUUUUGGAUUAAUCUAAGCUUCAAUUUGAAGGAGAAUAGGUUUAUUUUUCCUAUGUACAAAAAAAAUUAUUUUUUCCAUGCUAAAAAGACAAGAAAGAGGCAAUCUAUGACAUCUAUCGCAUCCAUUGUGCAUAAACUAGUUAGCGAAGGCAUGUUUUUCAAUGGAAAAAUAAUUGGAAACCAUGGAAGAUGCACCAUUGGGUCGGACAUGCAUACACCAGUGCUCGAGCACCCAAAUUUGUGCUUGAAUGACCAUCUAGCUAAAAGUGUCAAAUGGGUUGGACCACCCAAUUUGGCUCAUGAACUAAAAUGUCCCAAUUACUAUAGCAGCUUGUGUGGGGCUUAAGAAGACGACUUGUUAUGCCAUAGUGCCAAUCCAUUAUGCUAGCCCAUUGUGCCAGCCUAUCAUGUCAACCUACUUGGCCUAUUAAUAUUUUUGUAUGCCACAUGUCUAUAAUACCUCUCUCAAUAACUAAAAAGUGAAUCAAUAGUUAUUUUGUUAUUUUUCAUGUCAAAUGUCUGUAUUACCCUUCCCAACAACUAUAUAAUGGUUAAUUUGAAGGAUAAAUAAAUAAAUCACUUACUAUUAGUAUUUUUCAUGUCAAAUGUCUAUAAUACCGCUCUCAACAACUAUAUUACGAUUAGUUUUAAGGUUAGAUAAGUAAAUGAUUUAAAAACGGUUUUCUACAAAUAACCUCUCAUUUUAAUUCUUUCUCACACAAUUCUCCAUUCUCUCUCUUUACAUUAUUUACAAUUCUCUCUAAUCCUUUUCUACAAUUCUUUAAUUUUAAAUUCUCAACAAGUUCUCCAAUUCAAGGUUCAAGUUAUCUACUCUCCACAAGUGUUCAUUACUUACAAUUUUUUUAUGCUUAAGAUAUCUACUAAACUUAUAAGUGUUCAUUAUUUCAAGUUUGAGACAUUUCAUAUUUAGUUAUUUCAUUUACUUUUUAAAUUCUAUAUUUUCAUUUAAUUAUUCUCUUCCUUCUACCUUUUUUUUUCUUUAAAAUUAAAAUUGGAUUCCUAUUACCUAGAUGUUGAAAACCUUGACUUUGGUAUUGAUGAAUGUAAUGAAUUUGAGCCUUUUGAAGAUAAGGAGAACCCCACCCCCAUUAGCGUCCUCCCUCUAACCCUUUAUCUAACUUUCUCCAACCUCAUCAUAUAAGCAAAAGACCUCGGGUAAGUAGACACACAUCUGUAGUAUGGAAUUACUUCAUUAUACUAAAUAGAAAAAAAAAAUACAAGAGUAGAGGUAGAGAAUCUAGAACAAUAUAAAUAUUGUAAAAGAACAUAUAGUUGCGAAGCUAUUGGUGGCAUAAGUCAUCACCUUAGAAGACAUGUAGAACAAUGUACCAAAAGCCAUGGUGCAUUAGACCCUAGGCAAUCUCAAAUAAGUCAAAUUGAAAUAGGAUCUAGUACAUCUUCAAUGUCCAUCUUUAUAUAUAAUCAAGAAAGAUUCAGAGAAGGGUUAGCUAAAAUUAUGGCUAGUAUUAACCUACCACUCACAUUUGGAGAAAAUCCUAGGUUUGUACAUUUCAUGCACAAGUAUACUCUACUAGCCUAUCAAAUAAUUUUUAGGAAUUUUUUUUAUAAUAAUAUAAUUAAGAGUGAUAAGAAUUAUAAACAAUUGAUAAUCUAAAAUUUUAAUAAUCAUAAUGAUAUUACAUAUAUGACCUUAGAUAUAUGGCCUAGCCAAAGUAAUGACCCUUGUUGACAACAUAUUAUACAUAUGCAAAUUAGAAAUUAAAUAAGAAAAUAUUAGGUUUUCCUAUAGUAUAUUGUCCUCAUGAUGAGCUUGCCAUAUAUGAUUCUCUUACAAGUAUUUUUAGAGAGUUUGACAUACAAAGCAAAAUUUUUAGUAUUAACUUUGAUAAUACUUCAAAAACAAUACAAGUGUCAUAGAUUUUUUUGUAAGAACGAUUAGAGAAGAUCCACUAAGUGAGAUGUUCCAUGUGAGAUGUGUUUUUCAUUUAAUUAAAUUGAUAAUACAAGAUGGUUUAGAAUUAAUAUCUAUCUCGUUAGAGGCUAUUUGGUUUUCUAUACAAUUUAUUUAUCAACCUAACAAAUUAUAAGAAUUUAAUGCUUUAUGUAAACAGUUGGUUUGAAGAAGAGAAAGUUCCAUUAUGAUGUUGAUCAUCGUUGGAUUUUUUACUUAUCUUAUGUUAGCAUCUUGUGUAGGGUUUGAUAACAUAUUGUCAGAUUAUGCCAAUGGUAAGGUAGUUAAAUUAAAAUAACUUCAAAUGACUAGGAGAGAGGUUUUACAUUUUUAAACUUCUUAAAGGUUUUUUAUGAUACUACUACCAAGUGUUUUAUUGUAUAUACCCUUACAUCUUGCAUGACACUUAGAUGUAUUUGCAACAUUAAUUUUUUGUUUCAACAAUAUAGAUAAUGUGCCCUCUUUAGUGAAAUAUGUCUACAAAUGGGUUUUUUUUUUUUUUUUUUUUAAUAUUGAAAGAAUACCAACACUUUUUUAUUUAGAUGCUUGUAUGGAUCCAAGGGUUAAAGUUGAAGAUGUAGAAAACAUUUUAAAUUUCAUAGCUAAUUGAAUAAACCAACAAUCCCAACCAAAGGGUAAGGAAUACAAACAAUUAAACAUCUCAUAUAAAUAAUAUGAGACUAAAUAUGGUAGUGUCUCUUUAUGUGCUAUAACUCCAUGUGCAUUUGGAAAUGAUCCAUUUUUUAUGUAAUUAGAUAAAGGAAAGUGAUAAGUUUGUCAUUCAAGUAGUUUGGAUCUUUCAAAAUAUUUAGAUAUUGAUUACUCUUCAUUCCUAACUCCUAAUGAAAUCCAAAAUUUUGAUUUUAUGAAGAUGGUGGAAAUCUUAUGAAUCCACCUUUCAUGUGCUAUCUAAAAUGGCACGUGAUUUGCUAACCCUAUUGUAGCAUUGGAAUAUGCUUUUUCUAUAGUUGUAAAUAUGAUUGGAGACAAGAGGACAAAACUUGUACCAAAUAUGAUUGAAGCCUUGAUUUGUUUGAAGGAUUGAGAAAAUGGAUGCUUGAGUUUCCAAGCUUUAGAAGAUGAAUGUGAAGUUGAACUCAACAAUUUAAAUAUCAAUAAAGACAAAGAUGUUCAAAAGAUUGAUGAAGAAUCAAGAAUCAAGAAUGAAUAUUGAAAUAAGAAGAUAAAAAUGAAUAUGAAAAUUGAAUAAUUAAAUUUUGUUCAUUUCUUCUAAAUCUAUUAAAUGUGACUCAUUUUUAAAUAUUGUGAGUAAUGCCUAUGAUUGAUAGUUGGUGGGUGUCAACCUAGUUGGGAUGUACUCAAACUAUAAUGAUGUAAUUCUCACUUAUUUAUUUUUUUAUUUUUUUAAUGUAAUUUUUUGAAAUAUUGAAUAAAAAUUUGUAUUUUCCAUACUUUCUUUUCUUUUAUAUUCCAAUAUUUUAAAUUUAUAGUUACUUUGAUAAAAAAAAAAUUCAAAUACGAUUUAUUUUCUUAUUUUAAAAACAAAAAUUUAACAUUUCUACAAAUUUUACAAUUACAAAUUUGAUAAAUAUAAAUACAUAGAAAAACAUAAUUAUUUAAAAUGUUUAAAGUAACAAAAAGAAAUUGCACUUAAUAAUGAAAACAAAGUCUAAGAUAAAGUGACUUGAAAAGUUAAAUUAAAUAUUAACAAAGCGAGUGGCCCACCGACAUAGCCUACUAGCAUGGUCUAUCGUCACGACCUAUUAGCACAAUUGACCCAUAGGCUUAUAGGUCGUGGUAGGGCCCCAAUUUGGUUUGCAUGGGUUGGCAUUACAUGACACAAUUUUUAAAUAGGCUAUACUAGCCUGACAUCGCUUGGCCCAUUUGACAUCUCUACAUCAAGUGGCCAUCAAGUGCUCGAGUGCCCUUUUCAAUGCUCAAACCUUAUAAGUGACUAUUGGGAAGCACGAAUUACUCAAUUCCUUAGUCCUAGAUUAUGUAGGGUGCAUGCAUUCUAUCCUAAGCUUUUCUAGAUCUAUCAUAGUGGAAACAUAUGGUAUCAAAAACAAUAUUAUGAUCUAGAUCUAGAGAUUAAAGUUUCAUACCUACAAUCUAGAUAUUCCCAUAUCGAAUCCCAUAUGAUGGAGAUGUUGAAAACCGUGACAGUUGUUAUAAAACUUGUUUACUCAAUGAUCUUCCACCCAACUCUCCCUUCAUGGAUCUAAGCAUAAAAGAAGGGUGAGCUUCUAUUUCUCCCAUAAGGGUGUCUAGGGUUUCUCUCUAAAGUCUCUUUGAAAAAAAGAUAGGCCACAAGCUUGAACCCAAAAGUACCUAAAUGGGUUUAUAUUAAGCUCUCUAUGGCCUUAAGUGACUUGAGUCCAAAUUAAGCUUAGGUUACAUAAUCUAUCCCACCUAUGUCCAAAUUAUUUAAUUACUUCUAAUGAGGUCCAAUUAAUUAAUUAGCCUAAACUACCAAUCCAGAAAAAACCAUUUGUAAGAUCAAGUGCAACCUUACAUUUUUACCAAAAUGCCCUUAUAUACAUUUAUGAACUAUAAACCUAAAUCCUUGAAAUGAAGUGUGCCACCAUGAACUAGGAACUCGAUUAGGGACCAUUAAGACCUAUAGGAAAAUACUAGCUCCCUUAGAAUCCAAUUUUGAAGUUGACUUAAUAUUCCACUAAAAAGAGUCAAGUGCACUACAUUAUCCUAUGAAAUUAAAAGUUAAAGCUCUGGUUCGUGAUAUACCAUUCAUUGCAUGCAAACUCCCCAUGAGUUGGUGUUCGAAAUCUAAUAAGGUAGUACUAUCAACCCAUUAAUAUUACCUCUCUAAUCCUUGAGAUAUAGAUCCCCAUAUUAUGUGAUCAAUUUACAUACUCUAGCUUGUAAAAAGCAUAUGUCAAAUUUCACUUAAAGAAUUAUUGUGACCACAAAUUUCAUGAUCAUAUGUCUUUUAGAUCAACUAAGGAACAUACUAUCUCAAUCCCAUGAUAUUUCAUGGUGUUUCUAUUGAGAAUAAUUGUUUUCACUAGCAUUUAUCAAUAAUGACCUAAUCCAUAGAGAUAUAUGACGACAUUAGGUCUCACCCAUAGGUUAAAGCCUCCUAUUUAUUUCAGCACAAGCUCAUUAUUCUCUCAAGGCUAAGAGUUCAUUCAAUAUAGUAACUUGGAUCUUAACAAUUCAGUAGCCUUAUGUCAUGAUUCACUAUAGGUCCUACCCAUUGUGUAACCAUACAUACUAGAGCACCAGUCAGGGGUGUUGAUCGAACACUAAUGUGUCAAAUCCCCAAGUGUAAGGAUUUCAAUUAUAGCCUAGUAGAUACUAGUUUCAAUCCUACAAGGAACUCUUUUUCACUUUCUAAAGAGGUUGUCAAUAUACAAAUUGAUUUUGGGUGCUUCACAAAUAAGAUGUAGUUGGUUAGUUCAAAAAAGUAAGGCAAGAAAAGUGCCAUGAGGGGAAGGUAAGGAACCAAUUUAGUUAAACCAUUCUUUUUAAGUCUUUUGGUCCAAUAGGGGAUUUAAGUUUUGUAAUUAGAAAAUCUAGGCCAUAACUUGCUCAAAAUUACUCCUAAGAUUGUCCGAUUCACAACCAUUGCAGUGAGCAUUUAUCCUAGUAGGGACCCGCUUCAACCUUUUCUAGAAUACUGGGUUCUAGGAGAGACUCAAGCUUUUCAAUUAAGUUUGAAGCAUGUUCCUAAGGCUGCUUAACUUGCAAACCUUACAAUCCUUACAACAUGCAUUUGCUACAACCACUGAAUUUAUCAUCCUCGUCCUCAGUAAUGUUAAUAAACUAAGGAUUUCAUUAACUAAGGGAAAAAUUCCCCAUUUUCCACCCAUGAUACCCAGCUCAUUUAGCUUAGCAUUAAGGUAAAGAAGAAAGAGGCACACACUAAAGAAAAAAAAAUUACUAGAAGCAAGAGCAAAAAGAACUUUCUUUUAAAACCUGUUGAAAAUGUUUGAAAGGUUUUUACAAACUUCUCUCUCUACACUCAAAAUAAAAGCUACCAAACUACGUUAAAACUACUCUCAUAUUUUCCUCCCGUUAACCUUCUUUAUCAAUUCCCUACACCUUCUUCAUAUGGGACUACUUUCUAUAUUGUCAAUUAUAAGUGCGUUCGCCAAAAGUAGGUUGAUGAAGUUCCAUUUGUGAACGACGUCCAAAAUGGUGAUCAUGACAAGUGCAAUCAAUGGGGGUGACUUCCAUCAGUUUUGGAUGUGACCAUUUAUCGAAUGUGCAUUUUUCUCAUUGCAUGCUUGAGCUUUUAGGUUAGCACAGACAGAGUGCUUGUGAAUCAAUAUAGUGGCUCUUGCAAUGAUGCAUUGGUUAAUGAAGGAUUGCACAAUAAGGGUUGAGCAUUGAAUGAGCUUUAAGAUAGCACAAAGGAGUCUUUUAAAUUCUAUGCACUAAAGUCUUAGGGGAUUGCAUAAUUAAAGUUGACACAAUAAGGUUGGGUGCACAAUCUUGCCUUACUAUCUUGCAUGCACUAUUUAAUGUUGAAGGUGCACAAUCUC
rnacentral:lncRNA from 1 species